rnacentral:rRNA from 1 species
AAAUAGCCGCAGAAUUUUAACUGUGCUAAGGUAGCAUAAUCAUUAGAUUUUUAAUUAAAAUCUAGAAUGAAAGGUUAAACCUUUAAUAACUUUUUCAAUCUACUAAAUCUAAAUUAUAAAAGAAAUAAAAAUAUUUCUAUAUAUAAAUAGACGACAAGACCCUAUUGAACUUAACUUUAGUUAAGCUGGGGCAGCUAAUUAAAAAUCAUUUUAAUUUUUGUAUUAAUAUAAACACCUAAUAUUAUUAAAUAAACAAGUUACCAUAGGGAUAACAGCGUAAUUUUUUAUAAAAGUUCUUAUUAAAUAUAAAGAUUGCGACCUCGAUGUUGAAUUAUUUACCUAAUUGAAGCAAAAUUCUAAAAAGGGGGUC